rnacentral:rRNA from 1 species
AUUGAACGCUGGCGGCAGGCCUAACACAUGCAAGUCGAGCGGAUGAAGGGAGCUUGCUCCUGGAUUCAGCGGCGGACGGGUGAGUAAUGCCUAGGAAUCUGCCUGGUAGUGGGGGAUAACGUCCGGAAACGGGCGCUAAUACCGCAUACGUCCUGAGGGAGAAAGUGGGGGAUCUUCGGACCUCACGCUAUCAGAUGAGCCUAGGUCGGAUUAGCUAGUUGGUGGGGUAAAGGCCUACCAAGGCGACGAUCCGUAACUGGUCUGAGAGGAUGAUCAGUCACACUGGAACUGAGACGCGGUCCAGACUCCUACGGGAGGCAGCAGUGGGGAAUAUUGGACAAUGGGCGAAAGCCUGAUCCAGCCAUGCCGCGUGUGUGAAGAAGGUCUUCGGAUUGUAAAGCACUUUAAGUUGGGAGGAAGGGCAGUAAGUUAAUACCUUGCUGUUUUGACGGUACCAACAGAAUAAGCACCGGCUAACUUCGUG